rnacentral:rRNA from 1 species
GACGAACGCUGGCGGCGUGCUUAACACAUGCAAGUCGAGCGGAGCGGCGAACGGGUGAGUAACGCGUGAGUAACUGCCCCCCUCUCUGGGAUAACAGUUGGAAACGGCUGCUAAUACCGGAAAGUGGGGGAUGACUCGGGUCCUAUCAGCUUGUUGGUGGGGUAGGGGCGUACCAAUGCGACGACGGGGCGCCGGCCUGAGCGGGCGACCGGCCACAUUGGGCUGAGGUACGGCCCAGACUCCUGCGGGAGGCAGCAGAGGGGGAUAUUGCACCAUGGGGGAAGCCCUGAUGCAGCAACGCCGCGUGCGGGGGGACGGCCUUCGGGUUGUAAACCGCUUUCAGCCAUGACGCGGUAGUGGCAGAAGAAGCACCGGCUAACUACGUGCCAGCCGCCGCGGUAAUAC